rnacentral:rRNA from 1 species
AUGGNAGGGUUGUGUUUAUCAGAUAGAGAACCAAUCCAGGCUUUGCUUGGCACUGUGGUGAUUCAUANUAGCCGAACGAAUCGCAUGGCUUCAGCCGGCGAUGAAUCAUUCAAGUUUCUGACCUAUCAGCUUCCGAUGGUAAGGUAUUGGCCUACCGUGGCAAUGACGGGUAGACGGAGAAUUAGGGUUCGAUUCCGGAGAGGGAGCCUGAGAGUCGGCUACCACAUCUAAGGAAGGCAGCAGGCGCGCACAUUAUUCAGGUCCUGACACAGUGGAGGUAGUGACAAGAAAUAACANGACAGGGCAUCCAUGUCUUGUAAUUGGAAUGAGUANAACACAUGUCCCGUUUCGAGUAACACUUGGAAGGCAAGUCUGGCGCCAGCAGCCGCGGUAAUUCCAGCUCGAAUAGCGUAUAUUAAAAUUGUUGCNGGUAAAANCCUCGUAGUUGGAUUUCUGCCGAUGACAACCGGUCCGCCCUCCGGGGUUGAGUAGCUGGCUUGGCCUGGGCAUCUCCUUUGGAGAAGCGUUAAACUGCACUUGACUGUUU